CAGCAGCAUUCUGAGAGAGUUUUCUCCCGUGAGAAAUCUGUCUAUUCAAAGUUGCAAGAUGAAGAUGUCCUUUAUUCCCGUUCUUGAAUUCUGUUUCUCGCGCGAUGAUGUGGCCAUGACAUUU
rnacentral:snoRNA from 1 species